rnacentral:rRNA from 1 species
AACGAACGCUGGCGGCAUGCCUAACACAUGCAAGUCGAACGAGACCUUCGGGUCUAGUGGCGCACGGGUGCGUAACGCGUGGGAACCUGCCCUUAGGUUCGGAAUACCUCCCCGAAAGGGGUGCUAAUACCGGAUAAUGUCUUCGGACCAAAGAUUUAUCGCCUUUGGAUGGGCCCGCGUUGGAUUAGCUAGUUGGUAGGGUAAAAGCCUACCAAGGCGACGAUCCAUAGCUGGUUUGAGAGGAUGAUCAGCCACACUGGGACUGAGACACGGCCCAGAAUCCUACGGGAGGCAGCAGUGGGGAAUAUUGGACAAUGGGCGAAAGCCUGAUCCAGCAAUGCCGCGUGAGUGAUGAAGGCCUUAGGGUUGUAAAGCUCUUUUACCCGGGAUGAUAAUGACAGUACCGGGAGAAUAAGCUCCGGCUAACUCCGUG